GAUGAACGCUAGCGGCAGGCCUAAUACAUGCAAGUCAAAGGGGUAGCAAUACCACUGGCGCACGGGUGCGUAACGCGUAUGCAACCUACCGUUCACUGGGGGAUAACGUCGGGAAACCGGCGCUAAUACCGCAUAAAGCAGGGGCUGGGCAUCCAGAUACUGCUAAAACUCCGGUGGUGAACGAUGGGCAUGCGUCUGAUUAGCUAGUUGGCGGGGUAACGGCCCACCAAGGCGACGAUCAGUAGGGGAUCUGAGAGGAUAAUCCCCCCACACUGGCACUGAGAUACGGGCCAGACUCCUACGGGAGGCAGCAGUAGGGAAUAUUGGGCAAAGGUCUAAAGACUGACCCAGCCAUGCCGCGUGCAGGAAGAC
rnacentral:rRNA from 1 species